rnacentral:rRNA from 1 species
GAUGAACGCUGGCGGCGUGCUUAACACAUGCAAGUCGAACGGAAAGGCCCUGCUUUCGUGGGCUUCUCGAGUGGCGAACGGGUGAGUAACACGAGAGUAACCUGCCCUUGACUUUGGGAUAACUUCAGGAAACUGGGGCUAAUACCGGAUAGGAGCUCCUGCUGCAUGGUGGGGGUUGGAAAGUUUCGGCGGUUGGGGAUGGACUGGCGGCUUAUCAGCUUGUUGGUGGGGUAGUGGCUUACCAAGGCUUUGACGGGUAGCCGGCCUGAGAGGGUGACCGGCCACAUUGGGACUGAGAGACGGCGCAGUCUCCUACGGGAGGCAGCAGUGGGAAGUAUUGCACAAUGAGCGGAAGUCUGAUGCGGCAGCGCUGCGUGCGGGAUGACGGCCUUCGGGUUGUAAACCGCUUUCGCCUGUGACGAAGCGUGAGUGACGGUAAUGAAUAAAGAAGCACCGGCUAACUACGUG